rnacentral:rRNA from 1 species
UACGGGGGGGUAAGCGUUGUUCGGAAUUACUGGGCGUAAAGGGCUCGUAGGCGGCCAACUAAGUCGGACGUGAAAUCCCUCAGCUUAACUGGGGAACUGCGUCCGAUACUGGAUGGCUUGGAUUUGGGAGAGGGAUGCGGAAUUCCAGGUGUAGCGGUGAAAUGCGUGAGAUAUCAGGAGGAACACCGGUGGCGAAGGCGGAUCUCUGGGCCAUUACUGACGCUAAGGAGCGAAAGCGUGGGGAGCGAACAGG